GGAUAGCCCAGAUGGAAAUGGCAUCCUUUUUAAUUUUUCUAGAAACUGAAUUUAUUUCCGAUUCUAGAAAAAACAAAAAGAUAUAAUAAAAAGCUGGAAGAAGC
rnacentral:sRNA from 1 species